UACAGAGGGGCAAGCGUUGUUCGGAAUUACUGGGCGUAAAGGGCUCGUAGGCGGCCAACUAAGUCGGACGUGAAAUCCCCAGGCUCAACCUGGGAACUGCGUCCGAUACUGGAUGGCUUGAAUUCGGGAGAGGGAUGCGGAAUUCCAGGUGUAGCGGUGAAAUGCGUAGAUAUCUGGAGGAACACCGGUGGCGAAGGCGGCAUCCUGGACCGAGAUUGACGCUGAGACGCGAAGCGUGGGAGCGAACAGG
rnacentral:rRNA from 1 species